rnacentral:rRNA from 1 species
AUGGCUGCCAUUAAGCUUGUGUCACUUAGCUUGGUUGUGCUACUGAGCAUUGGGUUAGCCAGCGCCACUAGGGUAGUUAGAUACGCCAGCUCAACGGGGACAGGCUCGGGAGUGGGGAAUGGUGGUGGCACUGUGAACGGCAGCGGUGGAGGGACUGGGAGUGGCAAUGGGAAUGCCUACAGUGGUAGUAGUGGAGCCCAUGCAAAUGCGGGAGGGGGCGGUAGCGGGGGUGGUGCGUCGCAGGAUGGUGGCACCGGACAUGGCGCUGGGUCCGGCGACGGCUCAAGCUCUAGCUAUACGAGCGACGGAAGAUAUAGUUAUGGUGGUGAUUCUUAUGCAGGCGGAACUGGUCAGAACGGCGGCAGCGGUGGCGGCACGGGAGGUGGCAGCGGUAAUGCUGGUGCAUACCCUUAA